UGCAGGUCUCCAUAUAAUAUGACAUUUGGAGUCUCAACUCGAUCCCUUCCGGGAAGUUUGUGAUAGAAACAAUAUCAGCUCUGUCGAGGCAUUUUGUCACAGCCAGGAUAUAUGGUUCUGAGGAUGCCCUGGGAAUAGGUUUAACAGAGGCUAUUCAAGAUGGGAUGGUGGAAAGAGAAAACAUUUUUGUUACCUCUAUGUUAUGGGGUAGUCAUCAUCAUUACCCUGUUGUUUCAGUGCUCUAAAAUGGUUAUGUUGGUUGAUAACUUGAUAUUGUGGACUUCAAUGGUAGCUUUUUGGCUGGUGCGAAUCGGAUAAUAUUAGUGAUUACUAAGGUUGGGGACUGUUUUAAUUUGUAUUGGUGAUUGAGUUGCGGAGGACUGGAGGCCGCUGUAAAGAAGAAGCUUAAGAUUAGUUUCAGUGGCCUUUGCUUGUACUUAUUUAUAUAUUAUCCAUCCAAAUGAGUUCCCCUUGGUGCUUGUUUGCAGUGUUAUAAGCAUUCAUCUGAUGAGUUCAAAGUCUUCGGUUCGGUUGGAGUAGCUAGCUGGAGUUGCAUCAGAGAUUCAAAAGGAAAAGAAGGGGGUGUGACGUGUAAGUUAUGGUGAGCUUUUUGUUACAAACUCAGGGAAUCACCUCUUUGAAUUGAACAAGACAUCUGGGGAGAAGCAUGAGUGAACACUGUGAACCCAAAGUCUCAUCUAUCUUAGCACAUUGCCCUCUCAGCACAUUGCCUCUCCCACUACCAGGACCACCUGAGAAUGAGGUCAACAUAAUAUGUUUUACUUUACCACGGUGAAUGAUCCUUCCUAGUAAAGCUUAUUCAUCUUCAAGACUUCAACGUACGUAUGAGAAACUUCUUGUUUGUUUACGUGUGUUAGCUAGAUUGAUCAUGCAAACAAUCUCACAGCUCUCAUUUAGGUAACAAGUGUAUAUGUAAAACUGUGCUUCGAGUAGUUCCAUGGUGGUGGCAUUCAAAUGUUUGUGCCUAUUUCGAGCCCUGUGCUCAGUUUGGUAUUCUAAAGCUUUGAAUUUGUAUGCCAAAUCUGUUCGUGUAUUAGAUUUUCGAAUCAUUUUUGUGGUCUCUAAGAUGAUAUGAAGAACAACAUUGUCU